rnacentral:rRNA from 1 species
UACGAAGGGGGCGAGCGUUGUUCGGAAUCACUGGGCGUAAAGGGCGCGUAGGCGGCCCGCCAAGUCGCGUGUGAAAGCCCCGGGCUCAACCUGGGAACGGCGCGCGAGACUGACGGGCUGGAGUUCGGGAGAGGAGAGUGGAAUUCCCAGUGUAGAGGUGAAAUUCGUAGAUAUUGGGAAGAACACCGGUGGCGAAGGCGGCUCUCUGGACCGAGACUGACGCUGAGGCGCGAAAGCGUGGGGAGCAAACAGG